UACGUAGGGUGCAAGCGUUGUCCGGAAUUAUUGGGCGUAAAGAGCUCGUAGGCGGUCUGUCGCGUCUGCUGUGAAAACUCGGGGCUUAACCCCGGGCCUGCAGUGGGUACGGGCAGACUAGAGUGCGGUAGGGGAGACUGGAAUUCCUGGUGUAGCGGUGAAAUGCGCAGAUAUCAGGAGGAACACCGGUGGCGAAGGCGGGUCUCUGG
rnacentral:rRNA from 1 species